CUUCUCCUGCUCACUACCUGCAAGCUCUCUGAACUCCGUCCUUUUAGAUUUUUCUGGAAGCUUCAUUACAUAGGCAAGAUUGAUUAAAUCAUUGAUCAGAGGUGAUUGACUUCACUUCUAGCCCUUCAUGCCUCCUCAGGGGCCUCGGGGAAAGGUGGGACUGAGUUCCAACCCUCUAAUCACCUGGUUUGUUCUCCUGGCAACCAGCCUCCAUCUUGAGGGGCUUUCCAAAAUCACUCUUUAGUAUAACAGAAGAUAACUGUAUGACUCUUUUAAGAAAUUCCAAGGGUUUUAGGAGCUCUGUGCCAGAUAUGGGAUGAAGACCAAAGUAAGCCCUCCAUCCACUGGUGGUGUAUUCAUGGAUUCAAUCAAGCCUCAGUCAAAAGUAUUUGAAAAAAUACUUCAGAAAGUUCCAAAAGGCAAAACAUAAAUUUGCUGCAUGUUGGCAACUAUUUAUACUGUAUCAACUAUUAAUAUAAGUAACCCAGAGAUGAUUUAAAAUAUACAGGACGAUGUAUGUAGGUUAUCUAAGGGACUUGAGCAUCCAUGGAUUUUGGUAUUCACGGAGAAUCCUGGAACCAAACUCCCAAAAUGCCAAGGGACAACUGCAUGUAUUUCUCAUAGUAAAUCACGGUAUCACAGUAUCUUAUGCAGUUUUGAAAAUCCACUCUCAUUUAUCCCAAUUGUAUCAUUCUCAAUUGGUUGACUGGUCGCAUUUGGAAAUACAGUGGCUUGGAACCUGAGGGAUAUUAAGGAGUAUCAACAACUAGAUUCCAGAAGGCCUAGUGUGCCCGUCUGGCUGUGAAUAAACAAAUGGAACAAUUGAUGAACUGUUUCCUGACUCUGGCUUCUUAUUGACUUUUAGGUUUCAGCUUAAAUGAUGCUUCUGCCGACCACCUGCCUGCACAGCCAGUACCAAACCACUCCGGAGAUGCUCUCUUUCACGGCACCUGUUUAUCUCACAAGGGUGAGGGAAUUUUCAUCACAAGCUGUCCAGUUGCUGAUGACUCAUGAAAGAUUGCUUGUUGGGGUCUUCUUUGCUGCAUUUAAGAAGAGCGUCUUCAGGAACAGGUUAUGUAAUCACUCCAGUUUCAUGAGAUUACAUAUUCCAAAAUGAAAAUGAGUUGACUUUGAUAUUCUUUACAUAUAUUGAGAUACAUAAUAAAGCUCACUGAGUCCUUGACA
rnacentral:lncRNA from 1 species